rnacentral:lncRNA from 1 species
UUCACUCUUGUUUUGACACAAGGUGAUACUGGAUGUUCUAAAUUGUUGGAAUCUGAGUUGCCAAAGCAAGAGGAACCUGCUCAAUAAUUAUUGGUAUCUAGCAACUAGAAAAAGAAAGAAACAAACUAAUUAACACUUACUGAGUGAACCUUAAAUUUCAUAGUAAUAGACGCUUGACAUUGCAAUGAUGGUUUGCAAACAUCUUGAAACAUAGCAAAGGUAUCUUACACAACAUUCAUUGGGGUGGGGUCUAGCUCAAGUGAUUGGUGCGCAGUGUGUGAGUGGUUUAAUCCCUAGGUUAAAGAGUUUGAUUCCUACUGAUAAAAAAAAUCUAACCAACAUUCAAUCAUCUAUUGAAAGGCCAACACAACAAAAGUAAAGAGUUAAAUUGUGAAUUGAUGUUACAAAACAUAUGGAUGCCAGAGUAGAUG